rnacentral:rRNA from 1 species
CCUACGGGUGGCAGCAGUGGGGGAUAUUGCACAAUGGGGGGAACCCUGAUGCAGCGACGCCGCGUGAGUGAAGGAGCGUUUCGGCGCGUAAAGCCCUAUCAGCAGGGAAGAAGAUGACGGUACCUGGCCAAGAAGCCCCGGCUAACUACGUGCCAGCAGCCGCGGUAAUACGUAGGGGGCAAGCGUUAUCCGGAUUUACUGGGUGUAAAGGGAGCGUAGACGGUUACGCAAGUCUGGAGUGAAAGGCGGGGGCGCAACCCCCGGACUGCUUUGGAAACUGUAUAACUAGAGUGCAGGAGAGGUAAGUGGAAUUCCUAGUGUAGCGGUGAAAUGCGUAGAUAGUAGGAGGAACACCAGUGGCGAAGGCGGCUUACUGGACUGUAACUGACGUUGAGGCUCGAAAGCGUGGGGAGCAAACAGGAUUAGAUACCCCUGUAGUC